UAUAUAAUAUCAGAGUGUGUGUGUGUGUGAUCAGAAGGAAGCCAGCUAGAACAAUGUUACAUUGUCCAGGUAAACAGGCGUGGCCGGAGGUGGUGGGGCAUAGUGGGCAAGAUGCAGCGGCAAAGAUAGAGCGAGAGAAUCAUAAUGUUCGAGCAAUCGUCAUACUGGAAGGCUCUCCAGCCACCAAGGACUUGAGAUGUGACAGAGUCCGGGUCUGGAUCAAUCGAAACGGCGUCGUCGUUAGGCCCCCUCAUGUUGGCUAGCUGUACUUAGCUAGGCCCCAAACUAGUCCUAAAUAAAUAAAGGCCCAGCUGGCUACCUUCCAG